rnacentral:rRNA from 1 species
CACGGCGGGUGCUAACGUCCGUCGUGAAGAGGGAAACAACCCAGACCGCCAGCUAAGGUCCCAAAGUCAUGGUUAAGUGGGAAACGAUGUGGGAAGGCCCAGACAGCCAGGAUGUUGGCUUAGAAGCAGCCAUCAUUUAAAGAAAGCGUAAUAGCUCACUGGUCGAGUCGGCCUGCGCGGAAGAUGUAACGGGGCUAAACCAUGCACCGAAGCUGCGGCAGCGACACUAUGUGUUGUUGGGUAGGGGAGCGUUCUGUAAGCCUGUGAAGGUGUGCUGUGAGGCAUGCUGGAGGUAUCAGAAGUGCGAAUGCUGACAUAAGUAACGAUAAAGCGGGUGAAAAGCCCGCUCGCCGGAAGACCAAGGGUUCCUGUCCAACGUUAAUCGGGGCAGGGUGAGUCGACCCCUAAGGCGAGGCCGAAAGGCGUAGUCGAUGGGAAACAGGUUAAUAUUCCUGUACUUGGUGUUACUGCGAAGGGGGGACGGAGAAGGCUAUGUUGGCCGGGCGACGGUUGUCCCGGUUUAAGCGUGUAGGCUGGUUUUCCAGGCAAAUCCGGAAAAUCAAGGCUGAGGCGUGAUGACGAGGCACUACGGUGCUGAAGCAACAAAUGCCCUGCUUCCAGGAAAAGCCUCUAAGCAUCAGGUAACAUCAAAUCGUACCCCAAACCGACACAGGUGGUCAGGUAGAGAAUACCAAGGCGCUUGAGAGAACUCGGGUGAAGGAACUAGGCAAAAUGGUGCCGUAACUUCGGGAGAAGGCACGCUGAUAUGUAGGUGAAGCGACUUGCUCGUGGAGCUGAAAUCAGUCGAAGAUACCAGCUGGCUGCAACUGUUUAUUAAAAACACAGCACUGUGCAAACACGAAAGUGGACGUAUACGGUGUGACGCCUGCCCGGUGC